rnacentral:rRNA from 1 species
AUUGAACGCUGGCGGCAGGCCUAACACAUGCAAGUCGAGCGAGAAAGGUCUUCGGACUGAGUACAGCGGCGGACGGGUGAGUAAAGCGUAGGAAUCUACCUGGUAGUGGGGGAUAACUUGGGGAAACUCAAACUAAUACCGCAUACGCCCUACGGGGGAAAGGCGGGGGACCGUUCGGGCCGUCGCGCUAUCAGAUGAGCCUGCGUAGGAUUAGCUAGUUGGUGAGGUAAAGGACUCACCAAGGCGACGAUCCUUAGCUGGUCUGAGAGGAUGAUCAGCCACACUGGGACUGAGACACGGCCCAGACUCCUACGGGAGGCAGCAGUGGGGAAGUAUUGCGCAAUGGGCGAAAAGCCUGACGCAGCCAUGCCGCGUGUGUGAAGAAGGCCUUAGGGUUGUAAAGACACUUUCUAAUUGGGAAGAAAAGUUAGGUCGUUAAAUAGCGGCCAGCCCUGACAUUACCUUUAGAAGAAGGACCGGCUAACUACCGUGCCAGCAGCCGCGGUAAAGUCGUACGAUC